rnacentral:rRNA from 1 species
AGAGCGAACGCUGGCGGCAGGCUUAACACAUGCAAGUCGAGCGCUCGUAGCAAUACGGGAGCGGCAGACGGGAGAGUAACACGUGGGAACGUACCCUUCGGUUCGGAAUAACCCAGGGAAACUUGGGCUAAUACCGGAUACGUCCGUAAGGAGAAAGAUUUAUCGCCGAGGGAUCGGCCCGCGUCCGAUUAGCUAGUUGGUGGGGUAAUGGCCCACCAAGGCGACGAUCGGUAGCUGGUCUGAGAGGAUGAUCGAGCCUCACUGGGACUGAGACACGGCCCAGACUCCUACGGGAGGCAGCAGUGGGGAAUAUUGGACAAUGGGCGCAAGCCUGAUCCAGCCAUGCCGCGUGGGUGAUGAAGGCCUUAGGGUUGUAAAGCCCUUUCGGCGGGGAAGAUAAUGACGGUACCCGCAGAAGAAGCCCGGCUAACUUCGUGCCAGCAGCCGC